GGAAGAUAUAAAUGUUAGUUCCUAAAGAAAUUCAUUCAGCAAAAGAAGAUAUCACUGCUCUAAGAAGGGAAAUAUGUCAAAAUUUCCAUGUUGAGUUUAGUUUUUUAAGGCAGACUCACUCAAACUUUUCAAGCAUUUACCUGGGGGGAAAAAACAGUGCAGUGUAACCUGAAAAGAAGGGGCCCAGAAAGUGAAGGGGAUAUCAGGAGGGCUGCUUGAUACAUAGAGCAUGACUAUGAGAAGAGAGAAAAAUGACACAUGAGGAGGCAGCAGAGUGCUAUAAAAGGAGGUGGAAGAAUGCCUGGAGGAGAAGUGAGGUAUCAGAUAUGCACAGGGCCUGCAAGGGAAAGAGGGUGUUUGUGAAUAACAGAAGUUUCAAGAGUAUUCAGGAAUUAGAAAAACACCACUGUUAUUAUUGAUGAUGAAGAAAACACUCUCAUCUUCCUAGGCAAAAGACCAUACUGUCAUAUCUAUUCUGAAUACAGGAAAGACACCACACUCCCUUCAAAAGAGUUG
rnacentral:lncRNA from 1 species